UGGAAAGUGAGGCUAGGAACCCAGGGAGCCCCCUGAGGGCUGGGAGAACGAGCGGAGGGAACCAGGGAAACUCUGAGGGGAAGCGGGGAACGAGCUGAGGGACAGGCGGGACGGGUGAAGACGAGCUGAGGGAACCGAGGGAGCUCUGAGGGACUGCGGAGAACGAGCUGAGGGGACUGGAACUUGAACUGAGGGACAGGGAAGGAACGAGCUGAGGGAACUGGAACUUGAGUUGAGGGACAGGGAGGGAACGAGCUGAGGGAACCGCAAAGGCCAGUCUGGGGCGGACUGAGGGAACCGGGAGAGCUCUGGGGGACGGGGGGGAACGAGCUGAGGGCACCGGGGCGGCUCUGAGGGGUCGGUGCCAGGUGAGGGCUGAGGGGAAGCCCGGCCAAUGCAGGUGCUGAGCCCCAGCGAGCAGAGAGGACCGAUACCCUUCCAGUGAGGGAAAACGGAGAGAUUUUGGGGGGACGGUGGAGAAAAUGCUGGAGAAGUAGUUGGAGUGUCCAUGGGAGGCAAAUGAGAAGAAACGCUUAAACUCUGUUGGGCUGCAGUGGCAGGAGGAUGGGGUGGUUGUGGUGAAGAUACAUGUGGGGUUUUUCUGUUUGCUUUUAGGUUUCUCACUCCAAGGACAGAGAUGUGGAGGUAUUGGAGGCACUGGAGGGUUGAAAAGGAUGCAGGGAAGAACAAGAACAAAUCGAGGAUGCCUUGCUGUGCCUAGGCUCUAGACCUGCUUAAGUGCAUAUGUGUGACCCUCCAUGGUUUUCCUGGCGUCUUCCAGGAGAGAUCCCAGGUCCAUUCCUCAGUCCUGAUUUUGUGGGAUCACCUGCAGCACUCAGGGAGUUGAGCGACAAGAAGAGGAUUUCGCAUUCGCGCGUUGCUGGGCUUUGGAAUUUUCUCCCUGGAUUUCGGUUCGUUUUUCGCGUCUGCAAUACCAGGUACCACCACUGGGAGACGCUAUUUAAUCGAGUUUGGGUCGAAACGGGACCUUUUGCUUCCCUGCCCGUGUCUAACGGGCUGAAAUUCCGCCUUUCAGCUUCCCUGAACAAACUGCUUGGAGUCGGUUAUAACGUAACUCGACAAUUUUCUCCACAAAAUAAACUAGAAACCGAUGCUGUUCUAUGACAAUAAUAAAAACAAGGCUCGCAGAGCUCUUCA
rnacentral:lncRNA from 1 species